rnacentral:tRNA from 1 species
CAAAAUGUAGCUUAAUCAAAGCAUCUUGCUUACACCAAGAAAAUGUUUGUGAAAAUCAAAUCAUCUUGA